AAAUAAUCCUCUUGGAUCUCAACAUGAAGCCCACACUGACAUGCAAAGCCUGUUGCCAAAUUUCAGAUAAAAAGCAGACAGACGAUCCAUCCAGCCUGUGCUUGGCCUCAUUAGGAUUUUUCCUUGCUCCCUGUUCUAGUCUUUAUGGAUAAAUUUUUACUCUGGGAUUAUUUGAGAAAUCUAUGACUCGUCUUAUUAUGCAUACAGAAUUAUACUUUUUGUAAAAGGAUUUAUUUAUUUGAGAGAGAGAGAGAGAGAGAGAGAGAGAGAACACGUGAGUAGGGGUAGGGGCUGAGGGAGAAGGAGAAAAUCUUAAGCGGACUCCCUGCUGAGCAAGGAGCCCGAUGCAGGGCUCAGUCUCAUGACUGUGAGAUCAUGACCUGAACCAAAACCAAGAGUCAGAUGCUCAACUGACUGAGCCAACCAGGUGCCCUGAAUUAUACUCUUGAAAGUCCUUCACUCCCGAUGCUUGUCCUGGCUUUCCUGGAGCUUCUGCUUACCUGAUACCUCAGCAAGCACUGUGUUCUUACUUUUGAUUCUUCUUCCUGUCCAGUCACUGGUGCUGGGGAAUUGUAGUCUUCUAAGAGGCUACAGAAGAGGAAAAUACAAAUGGACAGAAAUGAAGUGAACAGGGUGAUUUUUGAGUAUAUCAGGAAGUGCUCAAAAUUGCAGGGAUUAUCACCAGGUCUCGUAUUUCAUGAUGCAGCUCCAAGAUGCUGAAGAAGGAAACUAUGGAUUAUUGAGUUGGGUAUUUUUUCCUGCCACCUUCUUGCUGGCCGUGUUGUGUUUUUCAGAGUGAAGACGUGAGUCACUGACCAAUCUUUUCUUAUUCACCUUUAAAUCAGCGAGUAGACAAUUUGUCUUUCGGAGUCGUUUGGGCUGGACCUGAUUGGAUGAGGAAGAACUGGCUGGCCGUGCAAAGAGGACAGAGGAUGGGAGAACAAAUCAGGAAGAAGGAUGGUGACAUUUGAAGCACUUGUCAACUGAUUAACAGGAAUUAAGAAUUUUUCCGGGGGGGAGUAAUUUUGGAGACUUCUCGUUUUCCCAUUCGACAGAUGAGCAAGCUGCACGAACAGAAUGCCAGCACGGCCGUUCUUGUUCAUCGUUAGUCUUCUGUAUACUGCAUACCAGCCUUCUGAGUUCUUCUGGCUGCAAAAGACAAGCAGGUGGAAAAGAGCAACUAUGCGCUCGGAACUUUUCAUAAAACAACUCUGCAAGUGAGGGCUUCUUACCCUUAUUCUACAAGGCUCCAGUCCUCUGAGGGUUCAAAUCCUCCAGCGGGAAGGGAAAGACUGGCACUUGAACCCAGGCAGGUAACUCGUAGGCUGUGUUUGUCCCGCACCAACAGAAGGAAGUUUGCGUGACUGCUCAAUGCAUCCAUUGUAUCACUGCUAUUAGUUCAAAUAGCACACUUAUUAUAUUUAUUCAUUGGGAAGCAUUUUAUAAAAACAGUGGCAGGCGUAAAACCCAGUCUUCAGCAUUCAGCUACAGUCCCUUUUCUGCCACAAAGGCUCAGUCGUCCUUAGCUAAGUUCCUUUCCACGUUCUUUCUAUCCAUAUUUCUACUCAUCCAUGGUCAAAGCAGAGAUCCAAGUUUAAUUGAGCUCUUUCUGCUCAAUAUUAAUCCAAGGUGGGUAAUUUGAAGGACUUCAUUCAUUUUGAACUCUGUGUUCUAAUGUGUGCGUUAAAAAAAAUUAGUUACACUAUUUUCAGGACCAUAAUUGGAUACCGUUCGGCUUCAAAUGAUUACCGAUGAGAACAGUGUGUAUUAUUUUUAAAGUUGCAUCAGAAGAGGGGAUGGCUUUUGCGGAGCAAUGGCAAGCCUGUCCACGGAAGUAGGACGCUGCAGGUGUCUGCCAGAUUUUCAGAUGCCCCAGAGAUGCUGUGGCUUCGUUUCUCAACAUACUUGGUGAUCAACCACAGGUGUGUGUACCUCAUUUGGGAAAUCUCUUUUAUUAAUUAAACGAAUUAAAUUUCUGCAGUCCCGGAAGGCCUGCCAUAAAGUUUACCGACACGGAACGUUCAACGCCUACGUCUUUGAGAUGCCGUGCUAGGUCAUUCAUUCUUUCAUUUAUUUAAUAUAUUUCCAUUGAACUGCUCUGCUUUCAAGGCCCCACGGUAGGACACUGCUUUUCAAACUAUCAAGUGCAUUUGAGUCUCCAGGGGUAAUACUAAAAUGCAGAUUUGGUAGAGUCGGGGCUCAGGUACUCAACAUUCUUUGCAAGCUCCCAGGCCAGGCUAAUACUGCUGACCAGUGGAUGGCACCAUGUCACGCUAGUGGAAGUGACAAGGAAGACAGACAAAAUGGCUCCUGUUCUCUGCGACCCAGCAUUCUCAUCCAGGAGACAGAACAUAAGCAAGCAAACCAAGGCUGAGUAAGAUCAUUUCAAGAGUGACACUAUGAGAAAUAGAGAGAACCCGGACUUGGAGCUGCUGGUACCAUAAGAUAUUCAGGAAUGGUCUCUCUCUGAAGAAGUGACAAUUAAUUAAAGACCUGAAAAAUGAGAAGGAUGUAAACAUUGGGAAAUCAAAGAGAAGAACCAGACAGAGGCACUAGCAGGUGCAAAGGCCCUGAGGUAGAAACAAAUGAGUCAUGUUUAAGAAAAUGAGUUCGGAUGAAAUCUUACCAUUUAUAAUGACAUGGAUGGAACUGGAGGGUAUUAUGCUGAGUGAAAUAAGUUAAUCAGAGAAAGACAAUGAUUAUAUGGUUUCAGUCUUAUGUGGAAUUUAAAGA